GGAGAGGUCGCGUAGUUGGCCUAGCGCGCACGCCUGGAAUGUGUGUAACCUGAAAGGGUUCGCGGGUUCGAAUCCCGCCCUCUCCG
rnacentral:tRNA from 1 species